GUGAAAUAGGAAGGACUAAUAGAAUGGGUGGUUUAAAGGGGCAAACGCGGCCGGCUUUCCAGUCUGCCUUACGGAUUAAUCCUACCCCAAAUAUUCAGUGCUUGACAAGAGGGGAGAGAACAGGAGCAAACAGGAUGUAACAAGGCUGAAGACAGUUUCUUCACUGGAAUGCCAAGAAAGCAGCCUGGUCUGUGACUACCGUUUCUCAUGAGAUAAACCUACAGGAUCGAGUGAACCCCAGUUCUGAGGAGGUGGCAGAGAACAGAGAAGGCAGACGAUAGUGGAUUAAAGCAGGAAUUCUGGCACCAGAAUGCAUGGCUUCAAGUUCUCGGUCAAGUUAGUUAAACUUUCUGUGCCUCAGUUUCCUCGCUGCAAAAUGAGGACAGCAAUGGUACUACGGGAGGACCAAGCAACUUAGCAUAUGAGAUGAGUACCCAGCACAUAAGAAAGAACCAAGAUUCUGGAUGGUAAUGCCGUUUUGAGAAUCAAUAAGGAAACCUGAUAUCCAGGAUAAGCAAAAGCAGAUUAACCCCUUUCUGCGUCUUCCCUGCUGCUAUUAAUAAAUAUGUAUAAUGACACUUUGGCAGUUUCAUAGCUAUUCUUGUGCUCCGAUGGCCAAAAAAGAAAUAGUUCAAGCAUUUAUGUACGCUUCAAUUGUAUGCAACGAAUUCAAGAAAAAUCUCUAUGUCAUAAAAGGAUAUGUCAAGGUCUUGUCAUUAUAAAAAGUAGAGGAUGCAUGGGGCGCCUGGGUGGCUCAGUUGGUUAAGCGAAUGCCUUCGGCUCAGGUCGUGAUCCUGGAGUCCUGGGAUCGAGUCCUGCAUCGGGCUCCCUGCUCGGCAGGGAGUCUGCUUCUCCCUCUGACCCUCCCCCUCUCAUGCUCUCUCUUUCUCUCAUUCUUGCUCUCAAAUAAAUAAAUAAAAUCUUGAAAAAAAAAUUAUUAAAAAAAUUAAAAAAAAGUAGAGGAUGCAGAAUGCAGUCA